rnacentral:rRNA from 1 species
UACGGGAGGCAGCAGUGGGGAAUCUUAGACAAUGGGCGCAAGCCUGAUCUAGCCAUGCCGCGUGAGUGAUGAAGGCCCUAGGGUCGUAAAGCUCUUUCGCCAGGGAUGAUAAUGACAGCACCUGGUAAAGAAACCCCGGCUAACUCCGUGCCAGCGACCGCGGUAAU